rnacentral:rRNA from 1 species
CAGUAGCCGCGGUAAUACAGAGGGUGCGAGCGUUAAUCGGAUUUACUGGGCGUAAAGCGUGCGCAGGCGGUUUGUUAAGACAGAUGUGAAAUCCCCGGGCUCAACCUGGGAACUGCAUUUGUGACUGGCAAGCUAGAGUGUGGCAGAGGGGGGUGGAAUUCCGCGUGUAGCAGUGAAAUGCGUAGAGAUCGGAAGGAACAUCUGUGGCGAAGGCGACUAUCUGGGCCAACACUGACACUGAGGCACGAAAGCGUGGGGAGCAAACAGGAUUAGAUACCCCAGUAGUCCCUGUCUCUUAUAC